CUGGGCGUCACAUUCUACAGACAGAAGUUUUAGCAGGAACAAGUCCUGGCGCUACUGUCUGUGUGUCCAUGUGAAAAGUCCAAAUACAAGAAGUGUGAAUUGGCAAGCAGGGCUCUGUGCAGUGAGGACAAGGAGGACUCUGUACACUGAGGACAAGCAGAGCUCUGUGCAAUGCACAGGAUGGCCAUACAAGAAACGCACCCGGCGAGGAGGCCGGCGACAUCGAAAAUCCAGCUCGUACCACAGCCAGAGACCACAAGACCACACCUCAACAGAAAACUGUGCUGAAAAAGAAAAACUAGUGAUGGAUACGCGGAAGGGAAGAUCGCUCACCUACUCAAUAACACUGUUUCCUGCAGUUCUAUCUAUUGCAUGUCAUUUAAAACUCUAGUUGCUUGUACUUUAAUAGAUUAUAUGAUGCCUCAUAUAUAUUAGCUAUACUUCUCCAAUUUAUACUGCAUGGCACCGUAUGCAUCCGGGUGUGGUUACCUAUGGCAACACCCCGGACUUGCUUGGAGUGGCUUAAGUGUGUGUGUCAUUCAUUUGCCGCACCACCUAAUACCCCUGUGCAUAUUGCAAGUACGUAGGAGAUUGCUGUAUGGCUAUUAGUUGCAGUUGCCCUUCUGCUAGAUGGCGCCCGAGCUUCUGUUUUGCACAACACGCAUGCACAAGAUAAUGUAUACGUGUAACUUAGCAACUAGUUCACAUGACUUCACAUAGUGAUGUCAUGCCCCGUACCGGAAACGCCGAACUCCGGCGUCAGCAUUGGAAUACAGUGAACAUAGAGACAAUGGUGAGUGUAUCUAUCCCCCCGCCCAUCUGAAUACAUAUGAAUGAUGUCACAAUUGCACUUGAUGUAUAAUUAAUAGGAAUAUACGUUUUUAUAGGCAUAAACUAAAUGUUUUAAUAUAUAUGUACACAUGAUAUAUAUGUAUAUUCCUUACUUUAUAGCACUUGGCACU